CCUACGGGAGGCAGCAGUGAGGAAUAUUGGGCAAUGGACGAGAGUCUGAACCAGCCAAGUAGCGUGAAGGAUGACUGCCCUAUGGGUUGUAAACUUCUUUUAUAUGGGAAUAAAAUGUUCCACGUGUGGGAUUUUGUAUGUCACAUAUGAAUACGGAUAGGCUAACUCCGUGCCAGCAGCGGCGGUAAUACGGAGGAUCCGAGCGUUAUCCGGUUUUCAUGGGGUUAACGGGAGCGUAAGUGGAUUGUUAAGGCAGUUGGUAAAGUGUGCGGCUCAACCGUAAAAUUGCAGUUGAAACUGGCAGUCUUGAGUACAGUAGAGGUGGGCGGAAUUCGUGGUGAAGCGGUGAAAUGCUUAGAUAUCACGAAGAACUCCGAGUGCGAAGGCAGUUCACUGGACUGCAACUGACACUGAGGCUCGAAAGUGUGGGUAUCAAACAGGAUUAGAUACCCGGGUAGUC
rnacentral:rRNA from 1 species